UAGGUGUGAAAAUUCAACCAGGCCUCUUUGU
rnacentral:piRNA from 1 species